rnacentral:lncRNA from 11 species
CUUAUGCAUUUUCUAAUGGGAGCAUUCAUAAAAAAACAAAAAGAAUGACACAUAGCUUUACACAUUACCAAACUGAUAUUACCAAACUUCCCAAAACAAACAAUACCUUUUUCACAUAACUCGGACAUUGCUGGGUCCCCAAGCUAGUAAAUAAAUACAUAUGACAACAGCAGCAAAAACUGAAUAUGCAAAACUAUGGAAACAACAAAAUAUAUCAACAUCAAAAGAUUGGAUUACGAAAGUUUUUGAAACAGUCAAAAUGGACAAAUUAAACAGCUUUACAACUAUCAAACACACAGAAGAUUCAAGAAGAAUGGAAACCUUUUAUGGAAUUCAUCAAGAACCAGAGGAAGAUGACCAAAGCAGAAUUAAUACUAUGGAUAUAUCUUGUAUUAUUUACAUACCCUACAUUCAAGAGAUUGCAGAAAGGGGAAGGAAGGGAAGGCAGAGUAAAGUCCACCUGGUAUUAUGCGAAAAGUUGGGCGUUGGCCCUCUCUUUCUUCCAGUCUCACCCAGAGCCACUGAGAGACAAGGACCUCCCUGCCGUUUGGAAGCCUCUCAGCUGCGGAGGAGGAAGGAGAAAGGGAAAGCCAGGCAUCAUGAUAAGCUCUGGAGUGCUGGAGGAGCACCUUACCCCGCCGGGACUGAAGCCCCUUUGGAAGAGGCUGGGUCAGUGGGGAGGCAUGUCUCAAGGCAGGAGUGGGGGUCAGGAAGAAGAGGAAGCAGCCCUUUCAAGGAGAAACCCGGGACCCUUAGCCCACUCUCUGGAAGGACAGCCACAGCAUCCUCUCCCAGCUCCCCACAAGAACCUUUCCCAAGAAGAGGGCAGGGGCCCCUUGCUGCUCCCAAGGGUGAUGGACCCACAACCUAUUGGUGAUGUAGAUCUUGGGAAAGGGGAUGAAGGUGGUCAAGAUAAGGGCAGGAAGGCAGAGGGCUGCCAGGAGGACAAAGGCUUCAGGUGUGAGGCCCUGAGGGUCGAGAGGGACCAAAAGGAAGAGCAGCUCCAGUGGGAUGAAGGUGGCAACUUGGACACUGGAGAUGAUGAUGACCUUGAUGCAGGUGAUGAUGGGAGCGACAGUGACGGAGAUGACAGUCAUGAAGGUGAUGGAAACAACAGUGGGAACAGUGGAGGUGAAGAUCCUGAUGGAGAUGAGGAUCAGGACAAGAGUGAGGGAGAGGACAGUGAUGAAGAAAUUGACAAAAACACAAUCUGUGAUGUUCUGUUGAAAGAGAUGGAGAAACUGGAGCAGGAGAUAGACGCAGUGCAUGAUCCCUCGCAGGAAAAGGUGGACGACUUGAGGAAGGAGGUGGAACAUUCCAGGACUGAGUACUGUUACCGACGUGAUAAAAUGGAAACAGCCCUAAACAAGAAGGUGAUGGGCUUGUGGUCAGCCCUAUGGCUUAACUCAUCACAGGCAGUGACUGCCCUUCAGGAAACCUUGAGCCAAUUCUCAGCAGUGGAGGUGGCUUCAUUGAAAGCAGAGUCUGACUCGCUUCAGGGCUUCCUGCAAGCUGCCCAGGGCCUAGAUACAUUGCAGAAGCUGACUGACUUUUAUUGCUCAGUGGAUGCUCUGCGGGAUCUCCCUCUGCUGAAGGUGGGCCCUACAUGUGAUGACCCACUGAAGGAGGUGGAUGUUAUAAAGGUGGAAAUGGACUGCUGGUGUUCUGCGCUGUUGCGUGUCCUACUGAAGGAGGGUCAGGAGAAGACAACUGCCCUGCAGGAGAAGGUGGACGCUGUGCAGGGUAUCUCUCCAGAGCAGGCAGGUGAACUGAAGGUGAAGAUGAGCGCUCUUCAGAAACAGAUGGGUCUCCUAUGGGAAGUCCCCCUCAAGGAGAUGAUGGCCUUGCUGGCAAUGGCAUAUAAGCUAUAUUGUAAAUUGUGCUCAGGUCCCACAAAAGAAGAGAACAUCAUAUGGAAGAAAGCAUGUGAUCAUGUAGUUAGCCUGAAAGUUCACCUGAAGGAUGUCCUUCUGUGGCGGAAAGCGACUGCCUUGCAUGCCAUGCUUCAUGAUAUCCCUGUGGAGAAACUGGUGGUGCUGGAAGAGAAAGUGAGGGCAUGUAUUAGGAAGGUGGAUGUGUUGCAGAAUAAAAUAUGGAAGCCCUUGGAGGAAGAGCUGAAAUUCCUGAAGGAGAAAUUGCGUUCCCUGAAGGAUUCUUCACAGAAGGGCAAGCUGCAAAAAGAGCUGAAGGAAUUAAAAGGGGACCUGGAAGAACUGACGGUAUUUGAAACUUACCCACUAAAGGGAACAGUGAAUGCCCUGCAAAAGAAAAUGAAUGCCCUACAGAAGAAGAUAAAUGUCCCCCAGAAUGCGGGUGCUCCCCUUGAAGAAGGUGAUGAAGUAAUGCAAGUGGACAAAACAGGAUUCUCGGAGAUGUUGAAUGCUCAAGAUGAAGAUGGUAGCAGUCUUUCCUUACAUACAGCAUUUUAUUUGAGAAUUGGCUGGCAACCUGUCAACAGCAGGAGGGAAUUGAAUCAUUCAUGAGUGCCGGAUUUGGUUGCAUAUUACCAGAAAUUGAGCCACAUUCCUACACCCAGUGCUGGAUUUCCCCUUGCGCUUAAGCACAGGGCUCUGUUAGCUGGAGGGAGGUGGACGUCUUCCUGCCAAAAAAUAUUUUGCGAUGGAUUUUGCUUACGUGGUGCUGUAGGGAAACAUAAGCCAGAAAAUAGUAAACUAUUGCCUAUAUAGCUUUGCCUCUGCAUAUAUCAUAUAGCCUUUAUAUAGACAAUAUAAGCACUUUGUAUGAACCAAAGUAGUAUGUGCAACACAGGGCCUAUGCCCCUCCCUUCCUGUGAGCUGGUGCCUUUCUUCAGGAAGAUCCAGAGAGAGAAGAA